rnacentral:pre_miRNA from 1 species
CAAAGAAUUCUCCUUUUGGGCUUGCUGGUUUUAUUUUAAGCCCAAAGGUGAAUUUUUUGGG